rnacentral:rRNA from 1 species
GNAUUUAUUGGGCGUAAAGCGAGCGCAGGCGGUUAGAUAAGUCUGAAGUUAAAGGCUGUGGCUUAACCAUAGUACGCUUUGGAAACUGUUUAACUUGAGUGCAGAAGGGGAGAGUGGAAUUCCAUGUGUAGCGGUGAAAUGCGUAGAUAUAUGGAGGAACACCGGUGGCGAAAGCGGCUCUCUGGUCUGUAACUGACGCUGAGGCUCGAAAGCGUGGGGAACAAACAGGAUUAGAUACCCUGGUAGUCCACGCCGUAAACGACGAGUGCUAGGUGUUGGGUCCUUUCCGGGACUCAGUGCCGCAGCUAACGCAUUAAGCACUCCGCCUGGGGAGUACGACCGCAAGGUUGAAACUCAAAGGAAUUGACGGGGGCCCGCACAAGCGGUGGAGCAUGUGGUUUAAUUCGAAGCAACGCGAAGAACCUUACCAGGUCUUGACAUCCCGGUGCCCGUCCUAGAGAUAGGAUUUUGCUUCGGCACACCGGUGACAGGUGGUGCAUGGUUGUCGUCAGCUCGUGUCGUGAGAUGUUGGGUUAAGUCCCGCAACGAGCGCAACCCUUAUUGUUAGUUGCCAUCAUUAAGUUGGGCACUCUAGCGAGACUGCCGGUAAUAAACCGGAGGAAGGUGGGGAUGACGUCAAAUCAUCAUGCCCUUUAUGACCUGGGCUACACACGUGCUACAAUGGCUGGUACAACGAGUCGCAAGUCGGUGACGGCAAGCUAAUCUCUUAAAGCCAGUCUCAGUUCGGAUUGUAGGCUGCAACUC